AGUGAACGCUGGCGGUAGGCCUAACACAUGCAAGUCGAACGGCAGCACAGUAAGAGCUUGCUCUUACGGGUGGCGAGUGGCGGACGGGUGAGGAAUACAUCGGCAUCUACUUUUUCGGGGGGGAUAACGUAGGGAAACUUACGCUAAUACCGCAUACGACCUACGGGUGAAAGCAGGGGAUCUUCGGACCUUGCGCGAUUGUAUGAGCCGAUGUCGGAUUAGCUAGUUGGCGAGGUAAAGGCCCACCAAGGCGACGAUCCGUAGCUGACCUGAGAGGAUGAUCGGCCACACUGGAACUGAGACACGGUCCAGACUCCUACGGGAGGCAGCAGUAGGGAAUAUUGGGCAAUGGGCGCAAGCCUGAUCCAGCCAUACCGCGUGGGUGAAGAAGGCCUUCGGGUUGUAAAGCCCUUUUGUUGGGGAAGAAAAGCAGCAGGUUAAUACCCCGCUGUUCUGACGGUACCCAAAGAAUAAGCACCGGCUAACUUCGUG
rnacentral:rRNA from 1 species